UACGUAGGGUGCGAGCGUUGUCCGGAAUUAUUGGGCGUAAAGGGCGCGUAGGCGGACUGCCAAGUCCGGGGUGAAAUCUUUCGGCUUAACCGGAAAAGGGCCUUGGAAACUGGCGGUCUCGAGGGAGGUAGGGGCCUGUGGAACUUCGGGUGGAGCGGUGAAAUGCGUUGAUAUCCGAAGGAACGCCGGUGGCGAAAGCGACGGGCUGGAUCUCUUCUGACGCUGAGGCGCGAAAGCCAGGGGAGCAAACGGG
rnacentral:rRNA from 1 species